AUUGAACGCUGGCGGCAGGCCUAACACAUGCAAGUCGAACGGUAACAGAAAGCAGCUUGCUGCUUUGCUGACGAGUGGCGGACGGGUGAGUAAUGUCUGGGAAACUGCCUGAUGGAGGGGGAUAACUACUGGAAACGGUAGCUAAUACCGCAUAACGUCGCAAGACCAAAGAGGGGGACCUUCGGGCCUCUUGCCAUCGGAUGUGCCCAGAUGGGAUUAGCUAGUAGGUGGGGUAAAGGCUCACCUAGGCGACGAUCCCUAGCUGGUCUGAGAGGAUGACCAGCAACGCGGGAACAGAGGCAGGGCCAAGACCCCGGGGGGGGGAAGCGGGGGGGAAUAUUGCAGAAGGGGGGAGGGGCGAAUGCGGCAAGGCGGGGGGAAGAAGGAGGCACUCGGGUUGGAAAAGUACUUUCGGGGGGGGGGAGGGGAGUAAAUUUAAUACCUUUCCACAUUGACGUUACCGGAGGAAGAAGCCCCGGCUAACCCCGGG
rnacentral:rRNA from 1 species